GGCAUGUGUUUGGCAGGAUGAUGGAAUAACAUAAGAUCAGGUUCUAAGGUGCAGACAGUUCUUUGCAGGAACAAUUCAACAAGUGAAAGCGUCAAACGAAAUCAAGGCAUCACUUUUAUGGAGGUGGUAUAUGCAUGGGUUGGAGAUGAUCCUUGUGGAUAUGGCGGUUUACCUCCUUGCUAGGCGUUACUUUCUUUGUGCAAGGAUUUUAUAGAGUUGUCCCUGAGUUAUUGUUCUGGAAAUGGUUGAACUCCACAAACUGUACACUGCACGAGUUAUUUGAAAUAAACUCGAACAAUUGGUGUCAUAAAGA